rnacentral:rRNA from 15 species
CCGUCGUGAGACAGGUUAGUUUUACCCUACUGAUGGAGUGUUAUCGUAAUGGUAAUUGAGGGUAGUACGAGAGGAACUGCUCAUUCAGAUAAUUGGUAUUUGCGCCUGUCCGAUCGGGCAAUGGCGCGAAGCUAUCAUCUGCUAGAUUAUGGCUGAACGCCUCUAAGUCAGAAUCCAUGCCAGAAAGGGACGAUUUCCUCCUGCACGUCGUAGUUGGAUACGAAUAGG